GGCGCAAGCGUUCGCCUCCUGGGAGACAGAGCAGAAAAACAGCUAAUAGCGCUAAAGGAGGCGAAAAGCAGGGCGUGAAGCUCGGAGAGGCCCUGCCCACUCCCCAGGGCUGGAGUUCUGGCCGCAGGGCGUGCGGGAAGGCCCUGAAUCGGGCAGGAUCUCUCUCUUCCCUGGCACCCCAAGCGUGACCUGCCCUCUGUGUUUCAGUUAAACAACCGAGCACAAGCACUGCCAGAAUAGCAGAGGACAGCCCCCAGGCUGGGUCCCUCCCGGGCAGGGGGCCCUCGUCAGGUCGAUGCUAUCGCAGGGAGGAGGCUCUCAGCCCAGCCCACAGAAACGCCUCUGCUCUUCCAUCUCCGGGCUGGGUCCUUUCCGGCAGCAGUUUUCAGCCAAUCAGUGAACGAAACGCAUAAACACUUGACCAAUCAGAUGCCAAACCCUCCCCCCUCCCUCCUGUAGCGUGGCCCACUAGCUCCAAGACGCAUGCGUUGGCCUCGGGGACUGCCGGGACUUGGAGUUCCACUGCAACGUACAAAGGCCACUUAGAGGCCAAGAGCCGAGGAGGGAAAAGAACAAAAGGGAGGAAGGGACCAUAUCCUUCUGGACAAGGCGAAGUAGCCCCUGCUUUAUCUUGGAGACCACAGCAUGAUUCAGCGGGGAAGAGUGCCCUGGUUUUUCUCUCGGCCAUAGGACCAUCUCUGAGUUAGAGUUUAUGAUCCACGAGAUCAGACUUUAGUGCUGAGCUCCGCGGGGAUCAGCCCUUAUCUACCAGCCCAGACCGGAGAGGAAAACGACCCCCAUCCAAUGUCCCUCGGAGACUCCCAGGCUUCGCUAGAACUUUGGGCCCCGCCCACACACUACACCUCCCAGCGUCUCCCGGUCCACAGACUACAACUCCCAGCAGGGCUUGCGGCACGCGCAACCCCGCCUGCAGACUACAACUCCCAGUAGGCCUCGCGCCGCCCGCCUAGCGCGGGAGUGUGGGGUUUCCCGGGGUUAACCCUAUAGUGAUCUACGGCCGCGGUUGGUUUUUUUUUGUUUUUUUUUUUUAAUAGAGGGGACCCAAUUGUACUCGUGAAAGAUGCCGGAACACUGCGAUCAGAAGCGGGGAGCGGAUAGGGCGAGUAAGGAGAUAGUUGGCCCCAGGGUAGAAACUCAGGGACCUUGCAUUCCUGAGGAUCUCUGCUGAAAAGGUUCUUGGAGCCCUCCCACAGCAUUGGGAUCCCCGGGAGGGUCCUCAGGAUGUUAGCAAUCUCUGGCUCCAAGCAGGAAGCCACAAACCCGAGUUAGGGACGAACAGACUUACCUCCUGUUGCAAAAGAUCCAAUGGAUUGCUGGCUCCAAGGUUCUUGGGAGGCCUGAGCUGAGAGAUUAUAGAUACCACCAGCAGAUUCCGGAGAUCUCAGAGCCGCAGGUCCUGUUCCCAGUACCCAGUUAUUUACGGUUAAAUUACUCAAAUGCCUAAAAUGAGCUAGCAGGACCCUACCAGCCAUAAAGCACCACCCUCUACCUGCUGCUUCCCUUCCACUCCCAAAGGAAGGUGAUGCUACUUUGCCUAAGGCUUGAACUCUCUGCGAUGAAGGAAGUGAUGGGGUUAAGCCAGGCAUCCCAAGCCUGUAACAGCAUGUGGAAAACUGGAAGGAACACAGCAGGCCAUGGGGAACCAAGAGGCCAGUGUGGCAUGAGCACCAAGCGCAGCGGUGGCGAGGCAGAAGCCAGCCGUGCAGGGCCUCCGUGGCCCUGCCAAGAGCAUGGGAAAAAUGCAAGCUUUUGAAUGGGGGCGGCAGAGCAGAGGACUGUAACACAAUCAGAUUUACAAUUUUGGAAAAGCUGAUUCCAGUCCCUUGCCAUUGAAAGCAUGAAUUGGAAUGGAUCCAGGGUAGGCGCAGGAAGACCCGUUUGGAGGGUGUUACAAAGUCUAUGGCCUAUUCAUACUUCUCUUUGUCCUUUUGUGAACAUUGCACGUGUACUGUAUUACUGUGUGACUUGAGCCAACUUGUUCCUUUGCUGUUGAAUCUGACUCAUCUCCUUUGUAAACAGGAAGGCUAUUGCGGGAGAAGAUUCCGGUUGCUCCCCCACCCCCCAUACUCUAAAUCCCUAUGAUACAGGGAACACAAAUGAUAUUUAGAUUGUGAUACUGAAAGUCUUUCCAGGGUGUCCCUUAUAACACACACCCAUGGGCUAGGGAGAUGGCUCAGUGGGUAAGGUGCUUGCCUUUAAGCUUGAGGACUUGAGUUUGAUCCCUGGGCCCCACAUGGUGGAAGGAGAGAACCAAGAACCAACUUUCACAGUUUGUCCUCCAUUCACACAUUGUGGCAUGUGCACACAUACACAACACUAAAUAAAUGUAAAAUGUAAAAAAAAAUAUAUACUCACCCUAAAGCAACCCUCAUUAACAUUAGAUUGAUAGUGGACACUGUUGUGUUCUGCCUUUAGAUUUCUAAACAUUUGAAUGAUAGAUGAGAUACAUUGGUCUUAGCCAAAAGGCAAGAAGGAGUGGAGGAUUAGAUGAUGCAGAAAAUAAUCUAGAUAUCCAAGCUUGUCCUACUCAAGUGUGGUCCAUGACGAGAAACAUUGGCAGUACCUGGAAACUUGCUGGAAUGAAACUCUCAGCCCCACUCCAGACCCACUGAAGUAGAACCUGGAUCUUACCAUGGCCUCCAAGGUAAACCCCCAAAGUAAACAUUAAGGAGCACCUGGGUUUCUAAGCAGCAUCCCUCUCCACCUCUGUGGGUCAUAUUCAUAAUUUAGAUAUGGCACAUGGCACGGUCUGGCAUGGAAGUGUGUUUUGCAGCAGAGAACAGCCGGAGGGUAGGAGCCAGGGGUUGUGCACAGCUCUUGACCUCUUCCAGGGUUGUACACAAUGACAGGAAGUGGGAGAUACAGGACUCUGUCCUGUCCUGCCUUUCCCAGCUGUGGGUAUUAUACCCUCUAGAAAGGAGGAUCACUAAUCUUUCCAACUUUUUUUUU